rnacentral:rRNA from 1 species
AGUGAACGCUGGCGGUAGGCCUAACACAUGCAAGACGAACGGCAGCACAGUAAGAGCUUGCUCUUACGGGUGGCGAGUGGCGGACGGGUGAGGAAUACAUCGGAAUCUACUUUUUCGUGGGGGAUAACGUAGGGAAACUUACGCUAAUACCGCAUACGACCUACGGGUGAAAGCAGGGGAUCUUCGGACCUUGCGCGAUUGAAUGAGCCGAUGUCGGAUUAGCUAGUUGGCGGGGUAAAGGCCCACCAAGGCGACGAUCCGUAGCUGGUCUGAGAGGAUGAUCAGCCACACUGGAACUGAGACACGGUCCAGACUCCUACGGGAGGCAGCAGUGGGGACUAUUGGACAAUGGGCGCAAGCCUGAUCCAGCCAUACCGCGUGGGUGAAGAAGGCCUUCGGGUUGUAAAGCCCUUUUGUUGGGAAAGAAAAGCAGCAGGUUAAUACCCCGCUGUUCUGACGGUACCCAAAGAAUAAGCACCGGCUAACUUCGUG